AGUGAACGCUGGCGGUAGGCCUAACACAUGCAAGUCGAACGGCAGCACAGUAAGAGCUUGCUCUUACGGGUGGCGAGUGGCGGAUGGGUGAGGAAUACAUCGGAAUCUACUUUUUCGUGGGGGAUAACGUAGGGAAACUUACGCUAAUACCGCAUACGACCUACGGGUGAAAGCAGGGGAUCUUCGGACCUUGCGCGAAUGAAUGAGCCGAUGUCGGUUUAGCUAGUUGGCGGGGUAAAGGCCCACCAAGGCGACGAUCCGUAGCUGGUCUGAGAGGAUGAUCAGCCACACUGGAACUGAGACACGGUCCAGACUCCUACGGGAGGCAGCAGUGGGGAAUAUUGGACAAUGGGCGCAAGCCUGAUCCAGCCAUACCGCGUGGGUGAAGAAGGCCUUCGGGUUGUAAAGCCCUUUUGUUGGGAAAGAAAAGCAGCAGGUUAAUACCCCGCUGUUCUGACGGUACCCAAAGAAUAAGCACCGGCUAACUUCGUG
rnacentral:rRNA from 1 species